rnacentral:rRNA from 1 species
AUGGAGCGGAUCGACGCCCUGAAGGCCCGCAGGGGCAAGCUCGCCGACGACCCCUGCCUCAGGCGGCUCCGUAACCGGCGGCUCAUCGUCUCCCUCUAUCUCCAGGGCUUCCAGCCCGCCCACGACUGGAUGCUCCACGAGACGGAUUUGUUCAUGAGCGGCCGGCAUCUGCAGCAGCUGGUGGCCUGCGGCCAGUGGAGGCAAGCCCUCGACUACAUCCGGCGCUUCCUGCCGCCGGCCAUAGGGGGCGUCGAGGCCCGCACCCUCUGUCUCUUCCUCCACGCCUUCUGGGCCGUGGACAACGCCGCCGCCUGCUCGAUGGGCGCCCCCGUCACCACCGCUGCGUACAACCACGACGUCCGCAUCCUGACGACAGUGUGCGCUAGCAACGCCAAGCUCUCUUCCAUCCUCAACAAGAUACACCACUCGCCCAAAUUCAGGGCAUCCCUGGACUGGAGACUGGUAAGGGAGAAAGCAUCGCUGAUUGCUGAUGACUUGGCGCUUGAUUCUCCAGAGUUGAGACGCAGGUUGCUACUGCCCCAGGACUUGCUUCCCAUCGGUCCCUGUCAUCGAAGGCACCACUUGAAGAAACAAGCCCUGCGGCCAGCAUCAUCUGCUAUUGCCAAGUGGUAUCUCAACAGGAAGAAGAGUCUGCCUUCUUCAACCCCAGUUACCGGUUUGAACUCUGAGGGACAAAACCGGGUUGUGGAUCUUAUCGAGGAGUGUUUAAAAGCUGGUACAGUUGUGGAGCUCCAUCAAGGGCACCUACUUCAGUCAAGUGUGAUGGCAGGUGCUUUUAGUACUCCAUUCUCACAGACCAUGUUUGGUACGGCAGGUCCUACUAAAAACAGUGAAACUUCAUCCGUGACAAAUGCAGGUGAUUCAGUCUCACGGCCUGCUAAAAUCCCUUGGAUCAUAUCUGCCACAAAUGCAGGUUCUUUUAGUGCUCCAUCCUCACAGACCAUGCUUGAUACGACAGGUUCUACUAAAAACAUCGAGACUUCAUCAGUGACAAGUGCAGGUGCUCCAACUUUCACAGAUUUGCCUAAUUAUCUUCAUUGGAACCCAUCAGUUGCAAAUUCAGGUGAUUCAGUCUCACAGCCUGCUAAAAUUAGAAUCCCUUGGAUCAUAUCUGCCACAAAUGCAGACCCAGUCGAUCUAAGAGGGUGGCUGACAACUGCUGAGGAAGAUGAUCCCGAUAAAAAAGGCAACGGACUAAUAAAUUGUUAA